rnacentral:rRNA from 1 species
UCGGAGUGAAAGGCUAAACAAGCCCGGAGAUAGCUGGUUCUCCUCGAAAUCUAUUUAGGUAGAGCCUCGCAUAUCACUGUUGGGGGUAGAGCACUGUUACGGCUAGGGGGUCAUCCCGACUUACCAACCCGUUGCAAACUCCGAAUACCAACAAGUGCAAUUGCGGGAGACACACGGCGGGUGAUAAGUUCCGUUGUGGAAAGGGAAACAGCCCAGACCGUCAGCUAAGGUCCCAAAAUGAUACUCAGUGGAAAACGAUGUGAAAAGGCACAGACAGCCAGGAGGUUGGCUUAGAAGCAGCCAUCCUUUAAAGAAAGCGUAAUAGCUCACUGGUCAAGUCGGUUUGCGCGGAAGAUUUAUCGGGGCUUAAGUAUCAUACCGAAGCUACGGAUGCGUGUUUACACGCAUGGUAGAGGAGCGUUCUGUACGCCUGUGAAGGUGAACCGAGAGGUUUGCUGGAGGUAUCAGAAGUGCGAAUGCUGACAUGAGUAACGAUAAUGGGGGUGAAAAACCCCCACGCCGAAAACCCAAGGUUUCCUGCGCAAUGCUAAUCAGCGCAGGGUUAGUCGGAACCUAAGGCGAGGCCGAAAGGCGUAGUCGAUGGACAACAGGUUAAUAUUCCUGUACCGCGUAUAACUGCGAUGGGGAGACGGAGAAGGCUAGAUCAGCAUACUGUUGGAUAUGUAUGUUUAAGCAUGUAGGGCGAGUUCUUAGGUAAAUCCGGGAGCUCAUUAAACCUGAGAUGUGAUGUCGAGGACUCUACGGAGUCCGGAGUGAUUGAUGCCAUGCUUCCAAGAAAAUCCUCUAAGCUUCAGGUUAUAGGCGUCCGUACCCCAAACCGACACAGGUGGGUGGGAUGAGAAUUCUAAGGCGCUUGAGAGAACUCUGGUGAAGGAACUAGGCAAAAUGGUACCGUAACUUCGGGAGAAGGUACGCCCUCUAGGUGACGCGACUUGCUCGUUGAGCUCAAGAGGGUUGCAAUAAAAUGGUGGCUGCGACUGUUUACUAAAAACAUAGCACUCUGCAAACUCGUAAGAGGAAGUAUAGGGUGUGACGCCUGCCCGGUGCCGGAAGGUUAAUUGAUGGGGUUAUCUUCGGAGAAGCUCUUGAUCGAAGCCCCGGUAAACGGCGGCCGUAACUAUAACGGUCCUAAGGUAGCGAAAUUCCUUGUCGGGU